AUUGAACGCUGGCGGCAGGCCUAACACAUGCAAGUCGAGCGGAGCGGCGGACGGGUUAGUAAUGCCUCGGACUCUGCAUGGUAGUGGGGGAUAACGUCCGGAAACGGGCGCUAAUACUGCAUACUCUCAGAUGAGCCUAGGUCGGAUUAGCUAGAUGGUGGGGUAAAGGCCUACCAAGGCGACGAUCCGUAGCUGGUCCGAGAGGAUGAUCAGUCACACUGGAACUGAGACACGGUCCAGAGUCCUACGGGAGGCAGCAGUGGGGAAUAUUGGACAAUGGGGGAAAGCCUGAUGCAGCCAUGCCGCGUGUGUGAAGAAGGUCUUCGGAUUGUAAAGCACUUUAAGUUGGGAGGCGGUACCAACAGAAGAAGCACCGGCUAACUUCGUGCCAGCAGCCGCGGUAAUUC
rnacentral:rRNA from 1 species